rnacentral:tRNA from 1 species
GGACAGGUAGCUCAGCUGGUAGAGCGAAGGACUGAAAAUCCUUAGGUCGCCGGUUCGACCCCGGCCCUGUCCA